ensembl:lncRNA
UGUGGUAGAAAUUACUGAUUAUAUUCUAUGGUAAACUGUGAUUAUUAUGAGGUCUUUUAUAUCUAAUAGUGGAAAACACACGGUGCCUAGGUGUCUGGGUUUAGAACAGAUGGAGCCCCCCCUAAAAGGAGCAGGGCUAUCUUUGCAGACCAUUUGUUGUCUAUUUUCUGUCCAUUCAGGUUAAAGUGGAUUUAUGACUGAAUGGAGGCAGACACCUCAAGGAGAAGCUGCUCUGUUUGUGUGUAUAAAAAGACGCCGCAGUUUGUGAACGACAGUGACUCUGCAAACCCACUCAGGCUGUUGUCGUUGUUGUUUUUCUUCACGAUAAAGUCUUUUUCAAUUCUUGCUCCGGACCCCUCGAUUUCUUUUACUCUCUCUCUUAAAUUAGUCUAAGUGUUUUAAAUCUCGAUUAAUCUCCGACAUAAUUGGCGUCACGACCAGGAGGAAAUAGGGACUCGUCAGCUGCCGGGCCAGAGGACGGGACGCGAACGGAUCAUACGACCAGAGCUCAAGGAUGGGUAGAAGCAGUCCCAUCAGAAGACCAAAGUGCGGCUACGGUAAUCAAGGCUCUGACGAGAGAAGUCAUGGCAAGGUUUGGAAUUCCGUCACAAAUUAGCUCAGGCGACAGAGCAGCGUUUGUUCAGAAAACACUCAGACAGGUGAUUUAACAUCUGCAUGUCAAAUAAAGACUAGUCCGUGUCUACAUUCCUCAAACCACAAGGUAUGGUGGAGAGAGGAAUGGGACGCUUAAGACAAAGAUUAACAAAAUUAAAUUAGAGUACUAAAUUGGAGGACUAAUGCACUACGACUGACACUAAUGAGUUAUUGCAUGAAAACUAACAGAACGACGCAUCUAACCCCGCAUGAAAUGCUUACGGGUCGACCCAUGCCUUCACCUGUCAUUCGAGGGCCUCAUAAAGGACCUCCAUUAGAACAAUUGGAAACUGAAUUAAGACGUUAUAUGGGACAACUAACUGGCAUACACAGGCUUAUUUUUCAACAAGAGAAAGACAGAGUUCCAGAGUUGGAG